CUAGUUGGUGGGGUAACGGCCUACCAAGGCGAUGAUGGGUAGCUGGUCUGAGAGGACGAUCAGCCACACUGGGACUGAGACACGGCCCAGACUCCUACGGGAGGCAGCAGUGAGGAAUUUUCCGCAAUGGGCGCAAGCCUGACGGAGCAACGCCGCGUGUGUGAUGAAGUCCUUCGGGAUGUAAAGCACUGUCGGAGGGGAUGAAUAAAUGACAGUACCCUCCAAGAAAGCCCCGGCUAACUACGUGCCAGCAGCCGCGGUAAUACGUAGGGGGCAAGCGUUAUCCGGAUUUACUGGGCGUAAAGCGCGUGUAGGUGGUUGCGUAAGUUGGUUGUGAAAUCUCCCGGCUCAACCGGGAAACUGCAAUCAAUACUGCGCGGCUAGAGUGGCAGAGAGGAAAGUGGAAUUCCCGGUGUAGUAGUGAAAUGCGUAGAUAUCGGGAGGAACACCAGCGGCGAAGGCGACUUUCUGGCUGCCAACUGACACUGAGACGCGAAAGCUAGGGGAGCGAACGGGAUUAGAUACCCCGGUAGUCCUAGCCGUAAACGAUGCACGCUAGGUGUUGGUCGUAUUGACGCGAUCAGUGCCGAAGCUAACGCAUUAAGCGUGCCGCCUGGGGAGUACGGUCGCAAGAUUAAAACUCAAAGGAAUUGACG
rnacentral:rRNA from 1 species